rnacentral:lncRNA from 1 species
AAUAUUAAUUCUAUUCUCAUGCUUAAUAGGACAAACUUCAAGGAUUGGAAGGAAAAUAUUUUGAUUGUUCUUGGCUGCAUGGAUCUUGAUCUUGCACUCUGAAUUAAGGAACCCACUCCUUUUGCGAAAGGAAGUUCAACUGAUGAAAGAGGAAGUUUGAGAAGUGGGAUAUCUUAAAUUUCAUGAGUCUAAUGAUCAUUAAGCGCGGCAUUCCAAAAGCCUUUAAAGGUGUAGUAUUUGAAGGGGUAACUAAUGCCAACAUGGAAUUAGUUAAUAAAAAUUAUUAACUAAUUACGUUAUUCAAAAUGUAAAGACGUUUUGCUCAAUCAUAAUGAAAGGCAGGAAAGUUUUGUGUUAAUUACCCCUUAAUUUUGUAUAUUGAACCGUAU